rfam:Paramecium bursaria Chlorella virus NY2A Chlorella virus NY2A ctg_13 genomic sequence.
GGCACAUUGAUGAAGUUGGUUAUCAUACUUGCCUUCCAAGCAAGAUUCCCGGAUUCGAAUUCCGGAUGUGUCA